rnacentral:lncRNA from 1 species
CUAGGAUGCUUCUCGGGAUGCCAUGGCCCUUCCUCCCGCUGGUUCUCCUUGCUCCUCAAGGUCCGCACAUCUCUGGUCGAUUGAUUCAGCUCCAGCGUCAAGGACACAACGGCAGCAGCAGCAAGGUUCGCCCCGCCUCUUGAUUUAAUCUUCUUCCAAUCCGUUGCCUUCUGAUGCUCGUGGACUCCUUCUUCUUCUUCUACAACUUCUCAUCAUCUCCUAUUGAUGUGUGCUCAUAUUAUGUCAAGGAAAGGAAUUCAAGGCCAUGGGAGCUUCUUCUAGUAUAGGACGUGUUGGACCUGCUGCUGUUGCUGGUUGUGUUCCCCAACCAAGUCCCCAAGCUGCAUCUUGCUACUCCUGCCUCGGCCGUACUCAACUUGCUCCUGGACAGCUACUGCAGGUGAGACAAUUGCCUCCAUCUACUGCAGGUAGAACUACUAUGUAGUUUGGUUGUAGCAGCAACUGUUGUAGGUUGGAAUAUAUAUGUGGUUUCAUAAGCUGGUGCUGCUAGUUGUUAUGGGAAUAUAUAUCUUAGUGCUUUUGGGGUUGUUCCUGUGGAUCCGGCGAGUUUAGUUUGGUUGUAGCAGCAACUGUAACUUUGUAUUACAUAUACUACAAGUUUGUACAGGAUUUUCGUUUGCUAGGAAACAUGGUCAUAUAUUCAUCUUUAAUGCUAGUUGUAUAUUUAGCGCAUCCAUAUGUGCAAGAAAAGGGUUCAGACAGAGAGGGGUACCUGUUUAUCAUGAUUUUUGCACCAGUUUAUCAUAUUGGUCUCCUGUAUUGUACUUUGAAGUUUAUCAUGUUGUGAAGCUGACCCUUCAAAUUGGGUUGCAGAGGAGGUAUGGCUGCCGCGCAAUGAUGCUGGAGACUGUUGCCGCAAUGCUGGGGAUGGAGACAGAUUGCACUGGAAAUAUUUUGUUAUUCCUUGCCUAAUGUUCUUGUUGCUGAUAAUAGGGCAUGUAGAUAGCAAGUUAUUUUCCUAGUGGUUACUUAUGCUUAUUGUGUAUCACAUUUAAAAAGAAAAUGCACAAUGAGCUUGUUUGAUCUUUCUUAUGCUUAUGUAUGCUUGAUCAAGGUAGUUCUUUUUUAAUUUGUUGACAAUGAACCAAUAUAACCAGUCAUCAGUAGCUAGUGUGCAUUGCCAAGUACAACAGUUCUACAUUGUAUGGAAUCAUCUAUAGAUAUUAUUUAUUUAAGUGUUGCUGGCUAUAUUGAAAUUAUACACUGAGGCGCUGUAGCAUUAGUGCACUGUAGCAUAUUAUUAUGAUUAAAGACUACCUACUGAUUUAGAAAUCGAGGAACACAUUAUCUGAGAAGAUAAUGGAAGUGUGAGAAAUUAGAAUCGUCUUUGUAUGCUAUACCAUAUAUAUGCUAUUUAUUUGUAUGCUAUUUAUCCAUGUGAUGCAACAUUAUCUGUAUGCUAUUUAUCCAUGUGAUGCAACAUUUUAAUGAACUUGUUAAACUGUUUGUCAAAAUUUAAAAUUAUGCUCCCUUGUGAAAUUUAUUGACAGGAUCUAUGCUAUAAGGACCUGGAGCAUCUAUUCUAAAAUCAUAGCUACAAGUUGUUGCUGUCGAUGGUGCCAUGGUGGUGCACAAUGUCUUUGGACUUCUCUGAGCUAAAGGUUCAUUCAAGAUUAGCCAAUGAUUCAUGUGAGCAUCUAUUCUGAAAACCCGGCAGCAGUUUUUUAUUUCCUGGAACUGUUUCAAUACUGCUAGAGUCUAAUGCUUACACUAGCUUCCCUAACUUAUCCCUAUGCAAAGACUCAUUAUACAAAUCAGAUACAAAUAUGAUCCCAUGUAUGAGUAAAGCUGGAUGACCAUCCAUUUGGUAAGAUUACAUAAUUGGUAGAACAAGUUAUCUAGAGAACUAAAUUGUUUGAAGCACGAAAGUUGAAUUUGCAUGCCGCUGAAUACUAUGUAAAUUCUACACUACUGAAAGUGUGCAGCUUAUGAUUCCUUUGCUGAAACAUGAAUGUACAGAUGGGAGUAUCACAACAUGCAUAUACUGAAGAUGGGAGUAUCACAACAUGCAUAUACUGAAGAUGGGAGUAUCACAACCUGAAUGUGCAGCUUAUGUAGUUUCUGUAUUUUUGUUAAAGCAUAUACUCUAGGAGGAGGAGCACCAUCUCAGGUUUGUCACUUGCUCCUCCACUUCUCUUAUCUUCUUCUUCUCCAUCUCCCCAUCUAAUUCAUGCGUUUCUUUGCAGGUUGCUCCGAUCUGGUUGUGUGAAGGAACAUGCAAGGUCUGCUACUACUGUUGUGCUCCCUCGAACGAUCUGGUGAAGGACAAUUUGGUCCAUAGGUCCAAUUACUGUAGCUAGCUAUCACACUUGUAGAGCUUGUAAUAUUGUGAUUCCAAUUGUAUUACGUGUUAUUGGUAGAGUAAGAGCUCCAUACUGAUUCUAGCUAUUGUUAUUUGAACUAUUACAUGUGUUUUCUGUCUGUUUGAAUUUAAAUAUUUGUUAUUUAUUCACUGGCAUAUUGAAAUCUGAAGAACAUGACCUUGACAUGAGGGACCCACAAAACAGAACCUGAC